CCCACCAUGACAGUGGUCCAAAGCGUCCUCCUCUUGGCUCUCAUUUCAGCUGCUAAGGGCCAGUCCCUCACCUCCUCAGAGCCAGUAGUCAGCAGACCAGGACAACCAGUCACUCUGUCCUGUAAAGUGGAUGGACUUGCUCUGACUUGGCUGCACUGGAUUCGUCAAAAACCAGGGAGAGGUCUGGAAUGGAUCGGACGCAUUGAUGGCGGAACCGGCACAAUAUUUGCCCAAAGUCUCCGAGGCCAGUUUUCCAUCACCAAGGACACGUCUGUAAAUGUUGUGUACUUAGAGGUGAAGAGUCCCAAACAAGAAGACUCUGCAGUUUAUUUCUGUGCACGAGAGCCACAGUGA